UUGAUCCUGCCGGAGGUUACUGCUAUCGGAGUUCGAUUAAGCCAUGCGAGUCUAAAGGUUCNUUNGGAAACCUUGGCGGACUGCUCAGUAACACGUGGAUAACCUACCCUUGGGACUGGAAUAACCCCGGGAAACUGGGGAUAAUACCGGAUAGAUCAGGGAUGCUGGAAUGCACCUUGAUCCAAAGCUCCGGCGCCCAAGGAUGGGUCUGCGGCCUAUCAGGUAUUAGUGGGUGUAACGUACCUACUAGCCAACGACGGGUACGGGUUGUGAGAGCAAGAGCCCGGAGAUGGAUUCUGAGACACGAAUCCAGGCCCUACGGGGUGCAGCAGGCGCGAAACCUUUACAAUGUGCGAAAGCAUGAUAAGGGAACUCCGAGUGCCAGCAUCUAAUGUUGGCUGUCCUUGUGCCUAAAACGCACAAGAUAGCAAGGGCCGGGUAAGACCGGUGCCAGCCGCCGCGGUAACACCGGCGGCCCGAGUGGUAGCCGCUAUUAUUGGGUCUAAAGGGUCCGUAGCCGGUUCGAUAAGUCCUCUGGGAAAUCUGGUUGCUUAACAAUCAGACUGCCAAGGGAUACUGUCGAACUUGAGACCGGGAGAGGUAAGAGGUACUUCAGGGGUAGGAGUGAAAUCUUGUAAUCCCUGGGGGACCAUCUGUGGCGAAGGCGUCUUACCAGAACGGGUCUGACGGUGAGGGACGAAAGCUGGGGGCGCAAACCGGAUUAGAUACCCGGGUAGUCCCAGCCGUAAACGAUGCUCGCUAUGUGUCAGGUACGGUGUGACCGUAUCUGGUGCCGUAGGGAAGCCGUGAAGCGAGCCACCUGGGAAGUACGGCCGCAAGGCUGAAACUUAAAGGAAUUGGCGGG
rnacentral:rRNA from 1 species